rnacentral:rRNA from 1 species
UGAGGAAUAUUGCGCAAUGGGCGAAAGCCUGACGCAGCGACGCCGCGUGGAGGAUGAAGGUUUUCGGAUUGUAAACUCCUGUUAAGUGGGAAGAAACGACAAAAUAUAAUACAUUUUGUAACUGACGGUACCAUUAAAUGAAAGCACCGGCUAACUUCGUGCCAGCAGCCGCGGUAAUACGAGGGGUGCAAGCGUUAUUCGGAAUUAUUGGGCGUAAAGGGUGCGUAGGCGGCGUAUUAAGUCAACUGUUAAAACCUCCAGCCUAACUGGAGAUCAGCAGUAGAUACUGGUAUGCUAGAGGAUGGAAGAGAGAAGUGGAAUUCUUGGAGUAGCGGUGGAAUGCGUAGAUCUCAAGAGGAACACCAAUGGCGAAGGCAGCUUCUUGGUCCAUAUCUGACGCUGAUGCACGAAAAGCGUGGGGAGCAAACAGGAUUAGAUACCCUGGUAGUCCACGCCGUAAACGAUGAUCACUAGAUGUUAAUUCUGCUUGCAGAAUUUAGUGUCGUAGCUAACGCGAUAAGUGAUCCGCCUGGGGGACUACGGUCGCAAGAUAAAACUCAAAUGAAUUGACGGGGUCAUAGCUGUUUCCUG